rnacentral:antisense_RNA from 1 species
GUUUAAUUAAGUUCUCACUUAAUUGUGGCUGAAAAAUUUACCACCGGGCGCCCAAGUAUCGUAAACACCACCAAAGUACAUUGCUUUCCAAACAAGUAACCAUGCACCUAGACCUAAAAUGAUUAAGUGGUAACCUAAAAUGUUUGUCAUUUUGUUUUUGUCUUUCCA